GGGUCACUGCUACCCUGACUGACACCAUGGAUUUGCUGGAUCUGUUUGUGCUUCAGGUUCAAGGACUCCUACAGCCAAGGCUUGUUUGGGGGCUCAGAGCUGAUUUGCAGCCCAUCUCGAUGUGCCUCAUGGCUACUGAUCUCAUCCCUGCAUUCUUCUCCUCCUGCUUCCACCAGCUUUAUUAAGGCUCACUGUUCUGAGGUCAUUCUGAGGAUUUCUUCUGGGCUUGCAUAGCUGGGACUUCCUGUACCACCAGUUCAAUUCUGCCUAGAGCUGAGGACCAUGCCAGAUAAGCAAGUCCCACAAGCAGCCACUGCUCAG